rnacentral:tRNA from 2 species
GCGAGGGUAGCUUAAUCAAAGCUUUUGGCUUUUAACCAGGAUGAUGGUAAUACACUUUACCUCCUUGCAC